AGUUGGCGGCCGACUGUCGUGCGGGUCGGACGUACGGAAUGCCCGGACGUUCAUGACAGACGCGCGAAAUGACUGAGGCCCGCAAACUUAAGUUGCUCCAGUGUGAUGGGUAGGUCGAAAUAAGUGAUAGUGUCGAAAUUUAACCGCUAAAUAUACUAUUUUACUGUGACAAUGUUUAAUGUUGAAUUUAUGGUUUUAUAGUGAUCAUAGGUGAAGGCGAGGCCGGGGGCGAGCGG
rnacentral:misc_RNA from 1 species